AAAAUAAUUUAAAAUAUCUGCUGUUAUAUUUAAUGGCGUGUGAAUUUAUAUUUUAUGUUACUACACUAAUUUAAAAUGUUUAAUUAUUCUAGGCUGUAAAAUUGUAAAUGGUGCUCCAGCGUAUUCAAAUUUGCAUAACAAAAUAUUUCAACUAGCUGAUAUAUUUUGUGUUAAUGAAUCUGAAGCAGAAAUAUAUACAAAUGAAAUAAUAAAAAUUAAUAGUAUUGAGACAGCUAAUCAAGCUUUAUUUUUACUUUUGAAACAAGGAUGUAAUACUGUUAUCAUAACAUUAGGAUCAUUAGGUGCUGUUUUUGCUUCAAAAAAUAACUCUGAACCUCAAUGGGUCCAUUCACCAAAAGUUACUAACCCUAUUGAUACUACUGCAAGUUCAACUCGGUGCUGGAGAUGCCUUUAUAGGAGCUUUAGCAUAUUUUAUUGUCCAUAAGCCAAAUUUAGAUUUGUAUGAAAAAAUUAAGAGAGCAUGUACAAUAGCUUCUAUUACAGUGCAACAAAAAGGUACCCAAAAAAGUUUUCCCAAUAGAAAUACUUUACCAAAAUAUUUGUUUGAUUAAAUUAAAAUUUUUCAUUCUAUUAUAAUAUUCAAAUUUGUGUAACUUAAUACUUAUAAUAAUUCUUUAUAAAUUAGCUUAUUUAAAAUGUUACGGUAGUAUACCAUGUAAAAUAUUUUUAUUGUUACAUUUUUAAUUCAAUAAUUUUGAUGAUAUAUAUGUUAUUAAUAUAGAAUAAAUGUAAAAAAAAUUUAUUUUA